UAGGGAAUCUUCGGCAAUGGGGGCAACCCUGACCGAGCAACGCCGCGUGAGUGAAGAAGGUUUUCGGAUCGUAAAGCUCUGUUGUAAGUCAAGAACGGGUGUGAGAGUGGAAAGUUCACACUGUGACGGUAGCUUACCAGAAAGGGACGGCUAACUACGUGCCAGCAGCCGCGGUAAUACGUAGGUCCCGAGCGUUGUCCGGAUUUAUUGGGCGUAAAGCGAGCGCAGGCGGUUUGAUAAGUCUGAAGUUAAAGGCUGUGGCUCAACCAUAGUUCGCUUUGGAAACUGUCAAACUUGAGUGCAGAAGGGGAGAGUGG
rnacentral:rRNA from 1 species